rnacentral:rRNA from 1 species
GGCUUAGAGUUUGAUCAUGGCUCAGGAUGAACGCUGGCGGCGUGCUUAACACAUGCAAGUCGAACGGAGAGCGUAUGACAGAGGAUUCGUCCAAUGGAUUACGUUUCUUAGUGGCGGACGGGUGAGUAACGCGUGAGGAACCUGCCUCGGAGUGGGGAAUAACACAACGAAAGCUGUGCUAAUACCGCAUGAUGCAGCUGGGUCGCAUGACUCUGGCUGCCAAAGAUUUAUCGCUCUGAGAUGGCCUCGCGUCUGAUUAGCUGGUUGGCGGGGUAACGGCCCACCAAGGCGACGAUCAGUAGCCGGACUGAGAGGUUGGCCGGCCACAUUGGGACUGAGACACGGCCCAGACUCCUACGGGAGGCAGCAGUGGGGAAUAUUGGGCAAUGGGCGCAAGCCUGACCCAGCAACGCCGCGUGAAGGAAGAAGGCCCCUCGGGUUGUAAACUUCUUUUGUCAGGGACGAAGCAAGUGACGGUACCCUGACGAAUAAGCCACGGCUAACUACGUGCCAGCAGCCGCGGUAAUACGUAGGUGGCAAGCGUUAUCCGGAUUUACUGGGUGUAAAGGGCGUGUAGGCGGGAUUGCAAGUCAGAUGUGAAAACCACGGGCUCAACCUGUGGCCUGCAUUUGAAACUGCAGUUCUUGAGUACUGGAGAGGCAGAUGGAA